UUUCUACCUUUAAAAUAUGUAGAAAAAUAAUUACUACGUCUUAACACUACUAGUACUUAUUUGUUAUUCAGUGUACUCCUAAUCACUCAAGGAUGUUUUUUUACUUUUCUGAGAGAAGAGAACUUCCAUAAACAAAACUAGUAAAUCAAAACCAAAUCCAAAGAAAAUCAGGUUUAUCAAAUUAUUCGCUGUGGCACUCUUUUCUCUUUCUCCGACGCCAAAACCAAGUUGUUCAAGUUUAGCCAUGCCUCGUGCUCCUAAAACUCGCUCAUAUGUUUGGGAACAUUUUAAGGUAGUUAAAGACAAUGAAGAUGAAGAAGUGCAUCUUACUCAAAAAGAGUCAAUGGGAUUAGACACAUCCAUAGCAGGAGACGUAGAGGAAGAAAUCCUUGCUCUUGGGGCUAAGAUGUUGCCUUUUCCAUCUAGAGCAAAGUGCAUGACAUGUGGUAGGAUCGUUGCGUAUAUUGGAAAAAAGGCAUUUAAUUUAAGGAGGCAUAUUGAGAGAUGUCGUGAGCUUCAUCUAAAGAAAGAGAGGCAUCGCGUUUUAAGUUUAUGUUAUGAAUUUGGUGAAUUUUAGACUUAAUUUGUGAUGACUAGUGUAGUGUUUGAUUAUGGAUUUAAGACUUAGUUUGUGACUGCUAAUGUUUUCUAUUUGGACCUGGAUUUUAGGACAUAUUUGUGUUGCUUUAAGUGUUCAGAACUGCUGAAUUCUUUGUGACUGAUGAUGCUACCUUUUUUGUGUCU